AGGGAAAGAUGGAGGCAUGCUUUACACAUGCAAGUCGAACGGCAGCGCGGGCUUCGGCCUGGCGGCGAGUGGCGAACGGGUGAGUAAUGCAUCGGAACGUGCCCAGUAGUGGGGGAUAGCCCGGCGAAAGCCGGAUUAAUACCGCAUACGACCUGAGGGUGAAAGCGGGGGACCGAAAGGCCUCGCGCUAUUGGAGCGGCCGAUGUCGGAUUAGCUAGUUGGUGGGGUAAAGGCUUACCAAGGCGACGAUCCGUAGCUGGUCUGAGAGGACGACCAGCCACACUGGGACUGAGACACGGCCCAGACUCCUACGGGAGGCAGCAGUGGGGAAUUUUGGACAAUGGGGGCAACCCUGAUCCAGCCAUGCCGCGUGCGGGAAGAAGGCCUUCGGGUUGUAAACCGCUUUUGUUCGGGAAGAAAUCCUCUGGGCUAAUACCCCGGGGGGAUGACGGUACCGGAAGAAUAAGCACCGGCUAACUACGUG
rnacentral:rRNA from 1 species